AGGGGCAGCGGGGAAGUAGCAAUACUUCCGCCGGUUACCGGCGCACGGGUGAGUAACACGUAUGGAACCUGCCCGUAGCAGGGGGAUAAGCGGAAGAAAUUCCGUCUAAUAUCGCGUAAUAACUCCGAGAGGCAUCUCCUGGGGUUUAAAGGGUAACACCGGCUACGGAUGGCCAUGCGGCGCAUUAGCUAGUUGGCGGGGUAACGGCCCACCAAGGCGACGAUGCGUAGGGGUUCUGAGAGGAAGGUCCCCCACCCUGGUACUGAGACACGGACCAGACUCCUACGGGAGGCAGCAGUGAGGAAUAUUGGUCAAUGGGCGCGAGCCUGAACCAGCCAAGUCGCGUGAGGGAAGACGGUCCUAUAGAUUGUAAACCUCUUUUGUCGGGGAGCAAAAGACGCCACGUGUGGCGUUCCGAGAAAAAAAAAAUUUUAUGCAUCGGCUAACUCGGUACAAACAGCCGCGGUAAUACGGAGGAUGCGAGCGUUAUCCGGAUUUAUUGGGUUUAAAGGGUGCGCAGGCGGAAGAUCAAGUCAGCGGUAAAAUUGAGAGGCUCAACCUCUUCGAGCCGUUGAAACUG
rnacentral:rRNA from 1 species